rnacentral:rRNA from 1 species
CAAUAGCGUAUAUUAAAGUUGUUGCAGUUAAAAAGCUCGUAGUUGGAUUUCUGAAUUGAAUAUCCGGUCCGCUCGUCUCUGAUGAGUGCGUACUUAUGGAUAUUGGAUUCAUUUUUUGUGAGGACAUUUAUCUGUCAUUAAGUUGAUGGAUUUAUAGACUUGCAUCGUUUACUGUGAAAAAAUUAGAGUGUUUAAAGCAGGCGUUCGCCCAUUUGAAUACAUUAGCAUGGAAUAAUAAGAUAUGACUUUGGUGGUCUAUUUUGUUGGUUUGCACACCAGAGUAAUGAUUAAUAGGGACAGUUGGGGGUAUUCAUAUUUCAACGUCAGAGGUGAAAUUCUUAGAUCGUUGAAAGAUGACCUUAGGCGAAAGCAUCUACCAUGGAUGUUUUCAUUA